CCUACGGGAGGCAGCAGUGAGGAAUAUUGGUCAAUGGACGAGAGUCUGAACCAGCCAAGUAGCGUGAAGGAUGACUGCCCUACGGGUUGUAAACUUCUUUUAUAUGGGAAUAAAACGUUCCACGUGUGGGAUUUUGUAUGUACCAUAUGAAUAAGGAUCGGCUAACUCCGUGCCAGCAGCCGCGGUAAUACGGAGGAUCCGAGCGUUAUCCGGAUUUAUUGGGUUUAAAGGGAGCGUAGGUGGAUUGUUAAGUCAGUUGUGAAAGUUUGCGGCUCAACCGUAAAAUUGCAGUUGAAACUGGCAGUCUUGAGUACAGUAGAGGUGGGCGGAAUUCGUGGUGUAGCGGUGAAAUGCUUAGAUAUCACGAAGAACUCCGAUUGCGAAGGCAGUUCACUGGACUGCAACUGACACUGAGGCUCGAAAGUGUGGGUAUCAAACAGGAUUAGAUACCCGAGUAGUC
rnacentral:rRNA from 1 species